AGCGAACGUUUGCGGCGGGCCUAACACAUGCAAGUCGAACGGGCUAGCAAUAGUCAGUGGCGCACGGGUGCGUAACACGUGGGUAAUCAACCCUUCAGCUCGGGAUAACGCCUUGAAAGGGGCGCUAAUACCGGAUGCGACGCGAGGAGCCUCGGCGCUUCGCGGGAAAGAUUCGCAAGGAUCACUGAAGGACGAGCCUGCGGCCCAUCAGCUAGUUGGUGAGGUAAGAGCUCACCAAGGCGAAGACGGGUAGCUGGUCUGAGAGGAUGAUCAGCCACACUGGAACUGAGACACGGUCCAGACUCCUACGGGAGGCAGCAGUGGGGAAUAUUGCGCAAUGGGCGAAAGCCUGACGCAGCCACGCCGCGUGAGCGAUGAAGGCCUCGGUC
rnacentral:rRNA from 1 species